rnacentral:rRNA from 1 species
UACGUAUGGUGCAAGCGUUAUCCGGAUUUACUGGGUGUAAAGGGAGCGUAGACGGAGUGGCAAGUCUGAUGUGAAAACCCGGGGCUCAACCUCGGGACUGCAUUGGAAACUGUCAAUCUAGAGUACCGGAGAGGUAAGCGGAAUUCCUAGUGUAGCGGUGAAAUGCGUAGAUAUUAGGAGGAACACCAGUGGCGAAGGCGGCUUACUGGACGGUAACUGACGUUGAGGCUCGAAAGCGUGGGGAGCAAACAGG